rnacentral:rRNA from 1 species
CACCGGCAGCUCAAGUGGUGGUCACGUUUAUUGGGCUUAAAGCGUCCGUAGUCGGCUCAGCAAGUCCCCUGUGAAAUCCAGCGGCUCAACCGUUGGGCUUGCGGAGGAAACUACUGAACUAGAGGCCGGGAGAGGAGUGAGGUAUUCCAGGGGUACCGGUGAAAUGGUAUAAUCCUUGGAAGACCACUAGUGGCGAAGGCGUCACUCUUGAACGGCCGUGACGGAUAGGAGGGACGAAAGUCGUAGGGGAGCGAACCGGAUUAGAUACCCGGGUAUCCUAGCCGUAAAGAUGUGGACUGAGUAUUACAGAAGCCUCGAGCUCCUGUAUGCUGUAGGGAAACUGUCAAGUCCACCGGCCUGGGGAUAUGGUCGCAAGGCUAGAAACUUAAAGGAUUAGGCGGGGGAGCACCACGAAGGGGUGGAAUGGCUGCGGUUC